CACGGGAUCAUGAGGUAUGUAUAAUUUGUCAAUUUUAUCAUAAAGUAAAAAUUUACGAUAGAAAAUUAAAUUAUUUUCAUAUUGUACCCGUAAAGCAUGAAUUUAAGUAUGUAAUUUGGUUAUUUUAUCAUAAGGUUUAAUUUUUUUAUUGAAUUAAAAUUUUAGUCCACAUGUAAUUUUUAUGUCAUAAAAUUUAAUUUUCUGGUAUGUUUACAUUGGAAAAAGAUAUAAUUAAGAUUAAUAUGACUCAAAUUUUGACAUAAGGCUUUGGAUUUGGUAGCUUCUCAAACUGUUAGUUUUUCUGGUAUUCAAUGUGAUGUUCCUAAACUCAAAGGAGAUAACUAUAAGAUUUGGAAGGAGAGAAUUCUUCUAUCAUUGGGGUGAAUGAACAUAGACUAUGCUAUAAGGAAAAACAAAUCGCUUGCAAUCACUGAUGAAAGUAGCUCAGCUGAUGUUGCGCUAUAUGAGCGAUGGGAGCGAUCCAAUCGGCUGGGAUACGUGAUUCUAUCGACCAACAUGAAAAGGUCCGAGACUUGCUUAAGGUCAUUGAGGACCAGUUCAUCACUUCAGAUAAGGCUUUAGCAAACACCCUGAUCAUGAAGUUCUCAUCUCUUAUGCUCACUAGUGUGAAAGGUGUGCGUGAGUACAUAAUACAUAUGUGAGAUAUUUCAUCUCAACUUAAGAAACUCGAGGUUGAUAUGUCUGAGUUCUUCUUGAUGCACUUCAUUUUAAACACCCUUUCGCAAGAAUAUGGGCCGUGUAAGAUUUCCUACAACACACAUAAGGACAAAUGGUCUAUCAAUGAAUUAAUGACUAUGUGUGUUUAGGAAGAAGAAAGGCUUGUAAUGGAGAUAGGUGAGAGUUCAUUGCUAACAACUGCUUGUGGGAAGAAAAAAGCAACUAAGUCUCAAGCUAAUCAGAAGGGGAAUGGUAAAAUACCACCUCAAGAUGAUAUUAAGAUGGUGGCAAAGUGUUUCUUUUGCAUGAAGAAGGGACACAUGAAAAAGAAUUGUCCCGGAUUCCAGAAAUGGAUUGAGAAGAAAGGGUAUGCAAAACCUAAGGAAACUAGUGGGAAGUGAGCAAAACAUUUUAUCAAGCAAUAAGCUAGGCUCACCUAUGGAGGCUAUUGAAACUUGCAUUUUAACUUUAAGUAGUGGCUUUAUUUUGAAAUUAGAAAAGACCUUUUAUGUACCAAGCUUUUCUCGAAACUUGAUUUUUGUUUCUAGACUCAUACCUUUUGGAUAUUCCUUUAAUUUUAAAGACACAUCAUUUGAGUUA